rnacentral:rRNA from 1 species
AUACGGAGGAUGCAAGCGUUAUCCGGAUUCAUUGGGUUUAAAGGGUGCGCAGGCGGGGCAAUAAGUCAGUGGUGAAAUUUUGCAGCUUAACUGUAAACGUGCCAUUGAUACUGUUGUUCUUGAGUUUGGUCAAGGUAGGCGGAAUGUGUAAUGUAGCGGUGAAAUGCUUAGAUAUUACACAGAACACCGAUUGCGAAGGCAGCUUACUGGGCCACUACUGACGCUCAUGCACGAAAGCGUGGGGAGCAAACAGGAUUAGAUACCCUGGUAGUCCACGCCGUAAACGAUGAUCACUCGCUGUUGGCGACACACAGUCAGCGGCUAAGCAAAAGCAUUAAGUGAUCCACCUGGGGAGUACGGCCGCAAGGCUGAA